CUGAAGGGUGCCUGUGCAGGCUAGUGGGGGUGCCCCAGGCACUGAGCAGACCCAGGGGAGGUAGUGCUGCAGGCUGGGCGUGGGCUGCUGGGAAACCCUCAUAGGGAGAGAGGAGGCCCACUAAACUAGUGAGAGCAAGGCCUGCCCCACUGGACUCUGCAGCAGGGCCAUCGGCCUGUCUGCCUGUGAUCUGACCCUGACAGCACGCAGGAAACACAGUUGGAAAUAGAGAAAGACGGUCAGCUAGAAAGUGGUGCCCAAGGGGAGAGGGCCGGAUUUGGAAGCCAGGGAGGAAGGAGACAGGGAAGGGGCUGCCCGGCGUCAGUCUGUUCCCAAAGGCCUGUAGCUCAGCACCAGGAGGGAUAGAGGGGUGUGCAUGAGAACACAGGGACAGCAGCCCUGUGACCUGGGGAGGGCCAGCUGCCUCCCGGUGCUGCCUGGAGCCUGCAAAGAGGAGGCGGCGGCGUCCACCGGUCUUGAAGGUCGGGAAAGGAGGCCCCGCGCCGGGACAGCUGGGAAACAAAGCCACAGGCCGCAGUGUGAGGGCGCAGGCCACAGAAGAGGCCGUCGGAGGUCUGGGAACCUCCGCAACUGCUCCUUCCGAGGCCUCCAGCGACACCCUCCUGGGGCUCGGGGUCCGGGGAGGCCGCCCCCCUCCCGCACACUCCGCCCCGCCGGCCGGGCCGCUGCCCCAGCCCCCCGCGUGGCGUAUUCUUCUGCUCGGCCGUCCUUCCGACCGUCCCUCCGCGAGUCCGUCUGUCGGUCUUUCUUCUCCCUCCCCUUCCAAAGCCGUGGCCCC
rnacentral:lncRNA from 1 species